GAUGAAGAACGUAGCGAAAUGCGAUAAGUAAUGUGAAUUGCAGAAUUCAGUGAAUCAUCGAAUCUUUGAACGCACAUUGCGCCCCCUGGUAUUCCGGGGGGCAUGCCUGUCCGAGCGUCAUUGCUGCCCAUCAAGCACGGCUUGUGUGUUGGGUCGUCGUCCCCUCUCCGGGGGGGACGGGCCCCAAAGGCAGCGGCGGCACCGCGUCCGAUCCUCGAGCGUAUGGGGCUUUGUCACCCGCUCUGUAGGCCCGGCCGGCGCUUGCCGAACGCAAAUCAAUCUUUUCCAGGUUGACCUCGGAUCAGGUAGGGAUACCCGCUGAACUUAAGCAUAUCAAUAAGCGGAGGA
rnacentral:misc_RNA from 1 species